rnacentral:rRNA from 1 species
GCAACUCGCCUGCAUGAAGUCGGAAUUGCUAGUAAUCGCAGAUCAGCAUGCUGCGGUGAAUACGUUCCCGGGCCUUGUACACACCGCCCGUCACACCAUGGGAGUCGGUAACACCCGAAGUCGGUAGUCUAACCGAAAGGAGGACGCCGCCGAAGGUGGGAUUGAUGACUGGGGUGAAGUCGUAACAAGGUAUC